UUAAAAAUACGAAAGGCAAGAUCAUAAAAAAUGUAAAAGAAACAAAAACUGGUAUGAUAUUUAUGAAGAUGAGAAGUUAGCAGAAGCAUGACAAAAAUAAGUCAUUCAAUCUUGUCCCAGCAUCAUUGACAUUAAAAAAGCAUUCAAUCUUUACAAAAAGCUAAACAUAAGGAAUACAAGUUAUCUGUUCAUUCAUCUAAUACCAGCAAUAUUCAAAAAGCAUUUAAUCUUUACAAAGACAAGGAAUACAAGUCAAAUCAUCCAAAUUUAUAUAUGGAAUACUAUCUGCUUCACAUAGAACAAAUGUUAAUAUACAUGAUCGCCUCUGAUGCUAGGAAAGCAUGGUACUUCUUAGCAAGCUUUUUGACCAGCUUCUUGAUUGCACACUGGAAAUAAGUCACAACCAUGAAACAACACCACUUUCCAUUUUUCUUUGCAGAUGAACAAUUAUUGUAGAAACGAAUAACAUGACGAAGAAAUUAAAAUCCAUGAACUUUACAGAGUCCCAACCCAUCAACCCUCAAAAUUACAACAGCUCAUUUUUCUUCCUCGUGCCUAACAUUUGUAAUGGACAAAACUAUCAACAGCAAAAGAACACAAAAAAGAAAAGUACAAAUGAAUGGAGAAGUCUCUCAAAACAUGGAGGACCUGAAAGAAGGAUGCAAGUACUCCAACCACAGGAAGGCCCAGAUGUUAUAAAGUCGCUGUUGCAUUGGGGUCCUGCAUUGGAGGCAUCAGUUUACUAGUUUUCGGCGUUGGGCUAUUUUUCUGGUGGAGACAAAAACAUAACCGACAGAUCUUUUCGAUGUUGAUGACCCACAUAAUGAGGAAGUUUGCCUGGGAAACUUAAAGAGGUUUCAGUUCAGGGAGCUCCAGAUUGCAACAGAUAACUUCAGUAGCAAAAAUAUUCUAGGAAAAGGUGGCUUCGGAAAUGUCUACAAAGGUCAGCUCCCUGAUGGAACUUUAGUAGCGGUAAAAAGGCUCAAGGAUGGAAAUGCUGCGGGUAGAGAGAUCCAGUUUCAGACUGAAGUGGAGAUGAUAAGUUUGGCAGUGCACAGAAACCUCCUCAGAUUGUAUGGAUUCUGUAUGACUGCUACUGAGAAACUUCUAGCGUAUCCUUAUAUGUCCAAUGGAAGUGUUGCUUCCCGACUCAAAGGUGGAAACGAUCCCGGAAUGAAUGUUGAAAUGAUCCCGGACCUCAUCGCGGCGGCUCCACCUACGACCAAUUCGCGGCCUUAGCAGAGGGGGGAGGAAGAACCCUCUCUGCCUUGCCUACCCGCAGCAGGGGAAGGAAAAGAACCCCUCAGAGGAGGGAAGGAAGAAUCCUAGUGCGGCCGUCGACAACUGCGGCCACGGCGGCGAUCAAGCGCGGCGCCUGAUCCACAGGCGGAGACCCUAGGUAGGUUCCUUCCCCCUUCCUCUUCCUCUUCUUCUUUUCUUUUAUUUU